GCCAGGCAUAGUGAUGCAUGCCUGUAGUCCCAGCUAUUUUGGAGGUUGAGGUUGGAGGAUUGCUUGAGCCCAGGAGUUUGAGGCUGCAGUGAACGAGGAUCGUGCCACUGCACUCUAGCCUGAGUGACAGAGCAAGACCCUGCCUCUA
rfam:Pan troglodytes isolate Yerkes chimp pedigree #C0471 (Clint) chromosome 17, whole genome shotgun sequence.